GUACCAGGUGGACCAGUCGACAUGGCAUCUGCCCGGUAAGCAGAACACUGUGAGUUCGAUUCCCAUCCCUGGACA